GCACUGCUGAAGAGUCCCACAAUAGGAUGAAACGACCGUCCAGUGC
rnacentral:hammerhead_ribozyme from 1 species